rnacentral:rRNA from 1 species
CCUACGGGAGGCAGCAGUGGGGGAUAUUGCACAAUGGGGGGAACCCUGAUGCAGCGACGCCGCGUGGGUGAAGAAGCGCCUCGGCGCGUAAAGCCCUGUCAGCAGGGAAGAAAAUGACGGUACCUGAAGAAGAAGCCCCGGCUAACUACGUGCCAGCAGCCGCGGUAAUACGUAGGGGGCAAGCGUUAUCCGGAUUUACUGGGUGGAAAGGGGGCGCAGACGGCGAUGCAAGCCAGGAGUGAAAGCCCGGGGCCCAACCCCGGGACUGCUCUUGGAACUGCGUGGCUGGAGUGCAGGAGGGGCAGGCGGAAUUCCUGGUGGAGCGGUGAAAUGCGUAGAUAUCAGGAGGAACACCGGUGGCGAAGGCGGCCUGCUGGACUGCAACGGACGUUGAGGCCCGAAAGCGUGGGGAGCAAACAGGAUUAGAUACCCCAGUAGUC